UGGGGAAUUUUGCACAAUGGGGGAAACCCUGAUGCAGCGACGCCGCGUGAUUUAGAAGGCCUUCGGGUUGUAAAAAUCUUUUGUAUGGGAAGAAAAUGACAGUACCAUACGAAUAAGGACCGGCUAAUUACGUGCCAGCAGCCGCGGUAAUACGUAAGGUCCGAGCGUUGUCCGGAAUCAUUGGGCGUAAAGGGUACGUAGGCGGAUAAGCAAGUUAGAAGUGAAAUCCUAUAGCUCAACUAUAGUAAGCUUUUAAAACUGCUCAUCUUGAGGUAUGGAAUGGAAAGUGGAAUUCCUAGUGUAGCGGUGAAAUGCGCAGAUAUUAGGAGGAAUACCGGUGGCGAAGGCGACUUUCUGGCCAUAUACUGACGCUGAGGUACGAAAGCGUGGGUAGCAACCAGG
rnacentral:rRNA from 1 species